rnacentral:rRNA from 1 species
GAUGAACGCUGGCGGCGUGCCUAAUACAUGCAAGUCGAGCGAACAGACGAGGAGCUUGCUCCUCUGACGUUAGCGGCGGACGGGUGAGUAACACGUGGAUAACCUACCUCUAAGGCUGGGAUAACUUCGGGAAACCGGAGCUAAUACCGGAUAAUAUAUUGAACCGCAUGGUUCAAUAGUGAAAGACGGUUUUGCUGUCACUUAUAGAUGGAUCCGCGCCGCAUUAGCUAGUUGGUAAGGUAACGGCUUACCAAGGCAACGAUGCGUAGCCGACCUGAGAGGGUGAUCGGCCACACUGGAACUGAGACACGGUCCAGACUCCUACGGGAGGCAGCAGUAGGGAAUCUUCCGCAAUGGGCGAAAGCCUGACGGAGCAACGCCGCGUGAGUGAUGAAGGUCUUCGGAUCGUAAAACUCUGUUAUUAGGGAAGAACAAAUGUGUAAGUAACUAUGCACGUCUUGACGGUACCUAAUCAGAAAGCCACGGCUAACUACGUG